rnacentral:rRNA from 1 species
GGAAUAUUGGACAAUGGGGGGAACCCUGAUCCAGCGACGCCGCGUGAGUGAAGGAGUAUUUCGGUAUGUAAAGCUCUAUCAGCAGGGAAGAAAGAAAUGACGGUACCUGACUAAGAAGCCCCGGCUAACUACGUGCCAGCAGCCGCGGUAAUACGUAGGGGGCAAGCGUUAUCCGGAUUUACUGGGUGUAAAGGGAGCGUAGACGGCAUUGCAAGUCUGAUGUGAAAGAUUGGGGCUCAACCCCAGGCCUGCAUUGGAAACUGUAAAGCUGGAGUACAGGAGAGGUAAGCGGAAUUCCUAGUGUAGCGGUGAAAUGCGUAGAUAUUAGGAGGAACACCAGUGGCGAAGGCGGCUUACUGGACUGUAACUGACGUUGAGGCUCGAAAGCGUGGGGAGCAAA